UUCAACAUCACUAGUUAUAAUGGAAAUGCAAAUGAAAACCACAAUGAGGUGCCUCCUCACACUUGUUAGAACAUCUGUCAUUAUGACAAGUUACCUACUUGGAACAAAAAUUCUGCAUUGUGAACUCUCUGGAAAUACUGUGGGAUGGAGUGAGGAACCACCACAUUGUGAAAAGGUUUUGUGUCGACUCCCUCAACAAAUACC